CUGCAGAGUGUUAAUAAAAAAUAAAUCCAAACAUUAGCAGCGAAGGUCUUUGGGGCCAUUAAAGUCAUUCGCAGUGUGAAGAAACUCCUUAAUUAAGCCAAUUUUAAAGUUUACGUGUCUGAUGGACAGGCGAUAAAACGACGGACGGACGGACGAUAAUAUAGCGCCAGAGUCAGUUAGGCAUCCGAUGACGCUGAUGGUUGCGAUAAUGACGAUGAUGAUCAUCAUCAUCCGUGGCAUGAUAAGGGCAACGAUGACAAAAUCAUUUCUGAGUAAUUCUGGUCUAAACCGAAAUCCCCCACGAAAACAGGCCACCACAAUUAUUUUUCUUUUUGUUUUAAGGUUAUACGUCAAUUGUUUUUAAAAUUUAAAUAUCAUCAGUGCUGUUUGGUGUUUUGAACAAAAUAAUUGAAAGUGAAAACCAUUACAAUUGAAGACGACGCGAUGAUGAUGGGGCGUACAGUUAACUGAAGAAACAGAAGAAGAAGUAGAAGUAGAACACCAAUAAGUAAUUGCCAUCAUUGUUUUUUGUUGGAGGCUUCCAAAGCCAUAAAAGAGCAAGUGUAGAUUUCCAUAGCAUUUUAAAUGUAUGAAACAAAAGAAUAUUAGCGGCGUCGAAUUGAUUUGGCCCUCAGGUUUCUUAAACGAGGCAUUGAAAAUAAAUUUAAUGACAUGUGUAUGGAGAUUGCACAGUGGUUAAAAAUGA